CAGGAUGAACGCUGGCGGCGUGCCUAACACAUGCAAGUCGAACGGAGCACAUUAAGCGAGACCUCGGGUGGAACUUUUAUGCUUAGUGGCGGACGGGUGAGUAACGCGUGGGUAACCUGCCUUAUACAGGGGGAUAACAGAGAGAAAUUUCUGCUAAUACCCCAUAAGCGCACAGUAUCGCAUGAUACAGGGUGAAAAGGAUUUCCGGUAUAAGAUGGACCCGCGUCUGAUUAGCCAGUUGGCAGGGUAACGGCCUACCAAAGCGACGAUCAGUAGCCGACCUGAGAGGGUGACCGGCCACAUUGGGACUGAGACACGGCCCAAACUCCUACGGGAGGCAGCAGUGGGGAAUAUUGCACAAUGGGGGAAACCCUGAUGCAAGCGACGCCGCGUGAGUGAAGAAGUAUUUCGGUAUGUAAAGCUCUAUCAGCAGGGAAGAUAAUGACGGUACCUGCACAAGAAGCCCCGGCUAACUACGUGCCAGCCGCGGC
rnacentral:rRNA from 1 species